UACGGAGGAUGCAAGCGUUAUCCGGAAUGAUUGGGCGUAAAGCGUCCGCAGGUGGCUGUGUAAGUCUGCUGUUAAAGAGUGAGGCUCAACCUCAUAAAGGCAGUGGAAACUACAUGGCUAGAGUGCGUUCGGGGCAGAGGGAAUUCCUGGUGUAGCGGUGAAAUGCGUAGAGAUCAGGAAGAACACCAGUGGCGAAAGCGCUCUGCUAGGCCGCAACUGACACUGAGGGACGAAAGCUAGGGGAGCGAAUGGG
rnacentral:rRNA from 1 species